rnacentral:lncRNA from 1 species
AUUAAAUGAUGUCUUUGUUUAAAAUUAAAGUAAAUAAAAAUUAAAUGAUAUUUUAAUUAGUGUGCAAUAGGGUAUUAACCUGUGCUAGCCGCUAUGUUUGUUUUGAUUGUCAGAAAUUUUUAUUAGAAUCAAUAAUCAAUUAUAUAACUAUAGAUAGCAUGCAAACUUAUUCUAUUUUUUAAUUUACAUUUUAAGCAAUAUUUGUUAUUAUAAAAAAA